rnacentral:rRNA from 1 species
UACGGAGGAUGCAAGCGUUAUCCGGAAUGAUUGGGCGUAAAGCGUCCGCAGGUGGCCCUUCAAGUCUGCUGUUAAAUACUAGGGCUCAACCUUGGAGCGGCAGUGGAAACUGAAGAGCUAGAGGUCGGUAGGAGUAGAGGGAAUUCCAAGUGUAGCGGUGAAAUGCGUAGAGAUUGGGAAGAACACCGGUGGCGAAAGCGCUCUGCUAGGCCGAAACUGACACUGAGGGACGAAAGCUAGGGGAGCGAAUGGG